AUUGAACGCUGGCGGUAUGCUUUACACAUGCAAGUCGAACGGCAGCGGGGAGGAGCUUGCUUCUCUGCCGGCGAGUGGCGAACGGGUGAGUAAUACAUCGGAACGUGUCGAGAAGAGGGGGAUAACCACCCGAAAGGGUGGCUAAUACCGCAUAAAUUCUGAGGAAGAAAGCUGGGGACCUGGGAAUAGGCCUAGCGCUUUUUGAGCGGCCGAUGUCGGAUUAGCUAGUUGGUGAGGUAAAGGCUCACCAAGGCGAAGAUCUGUAGCGGGUCUGAGAGGAUGAGGCGCCAAACGGGGAGUGAGAGACGGAACAGACUCCAACGGGGGCCAGCAGUGGGGAAUUUUGGACAAUGGGGGGAACCGUGAUCCAUCCAUGCAGCAGGUAUGAAGAAGGACUUAGGAAUGUAAAGUACUUUUGUUAGGGAAGAAAAGACAGCUGUGAAUAAUGGCUGAGCCUGACGGUACCUAAAGAAUAAGCAAACGCUAACUACGUG
rnacentral:rRNA from 1 species